UUUCCAUUUAAACUCCAACACGUUACAGACUUUAACGCGAAUGUCAUUGCGAAAGUUCACUAAUUGAAUAAUUACCUGUGCCGUCUGAGGAAGGGGUGGUGGAGGCGACUAUAUAAAUCGUUUGUGUUUUAAUGUUAGCACAUCACGCCUGAAGAAAGACGACGUCAAACACCAAAGAAGCGUCAUUACAGGCUUUAAAGAUAUGUGGGAGGAAUGAUAUACUCGUAGAUUCGAAGUCUCCUUUGUCUUCAAUUCUCUUAUGGUACAAGUCCAGCACGCGUCGCACAAUCACGGUUGUGGAACCAUACCAGAAAGAAAUACCGCUUUGAAUAAUAACUUCUGGCAGAGCUAGCAUCAAAAUGACACCAACAAAAACAUAUCCCAUAAAAGCAAACUGCGACAUAAUACAUUUUUGAAACCAGACCCCAGAAUUUUGAAUUUGUAACAACAAAUCUUAGGACUUAUAUCUCAAGGUGGGUGGCGCAUUUACGUUGUGGAUGUCUAUGGGCUCCAGUCACCACUUAACACCAGCACUGCACUCGGCGAGUUUGCUUGCCCCUCCAUGCAACGGCCGAGGGCCAAUGCGCCCGCGCACGCUUCUAAUGACAGCGAGGGGGCCGGGGCAGCGGGGAGGGGAACGACCGGUCGCAACCGCAGUAGAUAGCAAUCAAUCGCAACCGGAAGAUAGCACAAGCGGCUCUCACCUUUAUUCUUUUUUUUUUAUUACGUACUCGUGUACUCAACAAAAUCGAUCUUCUGUAAAGCAGAAAAACAUAAAAUCUAAACCCUAUAAUUGUUUGAGAACCAAAUUGGAUUUGCAUUAAUUAACGAAUGGCAUUCAAAUUAUUAAACAAUUUUUUUUGUCAGAAA